GAACGCUGGCGGCAGGCCUAACACAUGCAAGUCGAGCGGGUUUCGGACCUAGCGGCGGACGGGUGAGUAAUGCGUAGGAAGCUACCCGACAGAGGGGGAUACCAGUUGGAAACGACUGUUAAUACCGCAUAAUGUCUACGGACCAAAGUGUGGGACCUUCGGGCCACAUGCUAUCGGAUGCGCCUACGUGGGAUUAGCUAGUUGGUGAGGUAAUGGCUCACCAAGGCGACGAUCUCUAGCUGGCUUGAGAGGAUGAUCAGCCACACUGGAACUGAGACACGGUCCAGACUCCUACGGGAGGCAGCAGUGGGGAAUAUUGGACAAUGGGCGCAAGCCUGAUCCAGCCAUGCCGCGUGUGUGAAGAAGGCCUUCGGGUUGUAAAGCACUUUCAGCGAGGAGGAAGAGUUGUGUGUUAAUAGUACACAGCUUUGACGUUACUCGCAGAAGAAGCACCGGCUAACUACGUG
rnacentral:rRNA from 1 species